rnacentral:lncRNA from 1 species
UUGGGAUUGGGUUAGUAGGAGAUUAUGCCUAAAAUUGGGGGAUUGUGGAUUCUAUUUGAUUUUAAUUUUUAAUUUUUUAUUAUUUUUUCUCUCUCUUCCCAAGUUCCCUCUGACAUUAGUUUCUUCAAUUUCCUGACGUUGUCUUUUCCGUUCUUUUCCCUUUUUGACAUUUUGCCCUUUCUCUGUAAAUAUUUUCUUCGUUCUUCUUCGAUUCUGUUAGUGAACUUGUCUCCCAAUCAUGCUUUUAGAAUUGCCAGGUUCUUUAAUCGGCUUGGUAAGUAGAAUUUCGUUUAUUGUUACCAUUUGGUUUUUGAGAUGUUAGCGAUGUUAAAUGGUAGCCAUUAAUUGGUGAUUAAU